rnacentral:rRNA from 1 species
ACCCAAAGGACUUGGCGGUGCCUCAAACCCACCUAGAGGAGCCUGUUCUAUAACCGAUAACCCCCGUUAAACCUCACCACUCCUUGUUUAUCCAGCCUAUAUACCGCCGUCGCCAGCUUACCUCAUGAGAGACUAACAGUAAGCCAAAUGGGUAAUACCCAACACGUCAGGUCGAGGUGUAGCGAAUGAAGUGGGAAGAAAUGGGCUACAUUUUC